AUUUUAAGUACUUGUUUAUUUAAAUUUAACCAGCAGCUAGUGUUUUGCGCGCGUAAUCGAUCUGGCAACACUGUAGAGCUGAAAAGCAUUGCGGCGAUUCCCCGCGACGCGUGUAACUACGUUAGGAUUUUAGGCGCGAGUGACGGAAGCUUAAGUGUAUUUACCUACGCUGUAAUUUAUAAUUAUAUACUAUAUAAAAUAAUGCAUUAUUAUUUAAUUAAAUAAAUGAAUCAAUAAUUUAAAUAAUUUGGGAUCAUCAAACAUUAACAUUAAUUGUCAACAAACUUGGAAGAGAUGGCACGUGAUUUAUUGAUAAGGAAGUAUUUUAACGAAGGGUUUACAUAUAAUGAAAUAGUUCAUUUUCUAUGUAAAUAUCACAACAUUUCAAUAUCUCGUCGACAUUUAAUUCGAAUUCUUAAAAAACUUGGACUGAAGCGUAAAUAUAUUGUUGAAGAUUCCUUGGAAAAAAUUGGUUCUGCCGUGAUUGA